CUGGCGGCCUUAGCGCGGUGGUCCCACCUGACCCCAUGCCGAACUCAGAAGUGAAACGCCGUAGCGCCGAUGGUAGUGUGGGGUCUCCCCAUGCGAGAGUAGGGAACUGCCAGGCA
rnacentral:rRNA from 1 species